UACGUAGGGGGCAAGCGUUGUCCGGAAUCAUUGGGCGUAAAGCGCGCGUAGGCGGCCCGGUAAGUCCGUUGUAAAAGUCGAAGGCUCAACCUUCGAAAGCCGAUGGAUACUGCCGGGCUAGAGUCCGGAAGAGGCGAGUGGAAUUCCUGGUGUAGCGGUGGAAUGCGCAGAUAUCAGGAGGAACACCGGUGGCGAAGGCGGGACUCUGGGCCGAUACUGACGCUGAGGAGCGAAAGCGUGGGGAGCAAACAGG
rnacentral:rRNA from 1 species